UGCCAGCAGCCGCGGUAAUACGGAGGGUGCAAGCAUUGAUCGGAAUUAUUGGGCGUAAAGGGCGCGUAGGCGGCCAGGUAAGUCUGAUGUGAAAGCCCGGGGCUCAACCCCGGAAGUGCAUUGGAAACUGGCGAACUUGAGUACGGGAGAGGAAAGUGGAAUUCCGAGUGUAGGGGUGAAAUCCGUAGAUAUUCGGAGGAACACCAGUGGCGAAGGCGGCUUUCUGGACCGAUACUGACGCUGAGACGCGAAAGCGUGGGGAGCGAACAGGAUUAGAUA
rnacentral:rRNA from 1 species